GGCCACCUGUGAAGCAAAGCCACUUGGCAAUCCUCCCAUGCAGGGACACAUGGCUGCUCCCUUCUCACCUCUGACCUGACUUCAGCUUUGACAAGGAUCAAGUAUUUCUACUAGAACAGCAGGGAGAGGCCUAAGUUUCAGGGUCUAUUAACCUGCUUAGGGUCCAAGGAUGAGUUUUAGGUAGUCUACAAACCCUUCAUAUUACAUGUGAAAUUUUGCCGAUAGGUGUGGACAUUUUUCAAAGAUACCCACUACUAGUUCAGAAUUAGUCACUUGAGAGUGGGAAAGAGGGGUGGCCAUAUCCCCAGUGUGAACUGGACUCCUUACCCGGUAGGCCUCCUCCCAAAGCCCAUUGGAGCGGUACAUGUUCACUGUUGCCUUCCACUCCUGAGCCUCGAGGUAGUGAUACUCAGCCUCCUGCAGUCGGCCUUCAGCCUCCAGCUCCUGGGGAAAGCCCUGAAGCCUCCUCCCACACCCGCUCUGGGGCCGCAGCUCACCUUUCGGCCUCACGGUACUUGCCCUGCUUCUCCAUCUCCUGAGCCUGGGUGAUGUACAGCACUGACACGUCUUCUGGUCUCAUGCACUUCAUCGCCAGCUGUGCAGACACACAGAGCCAGAGUAGCCUCUGGUGCCAGUUUCCAAGGGAAGCAGAGGGAUAUGCAGAGCAGCCCAGGAAGCUGGACUCUGGGGCAACGAGUCUUCUCAGGAACUCUGAACUUUCCCAACAACCACAGGAGUUUGGUUACUGUUGCUUUCCUAGUCAUUCCAGGGAACUCCAAGUCCAUAAGGAGCAAACUUUCAGGGAACCCAGUGAAGGAGGAGAUCAGAGACCAAAGAAAGUGGCAACAGGCGCUGAGAGGUGGGAUUCUCUGAUGAACGCUACCCCUCCCUCUACCUUGUGG